AAAGUUGUUGUCUAUAGGCGAAUGCAUCUCGUCACGUAUCUGUGGGCCGAGCUGUCAGCCGACACUUUGCAUAUUGGAAAGGAUGUAGACGGGUGGUUUUCAAAAUUCUUCCAAGGGCCAAUGCGCCACAUUCUAAUUUUAAAUCGCGAAUUAAUCGCAUAAUCAUGAUUUUAUUUUUAUAAAAUUACUGAGGACCCCUUCCAUUGACAUGAUUGCACGGAACCACAAGCCGGCUUCUUUUCUGGAAUGGGUCCUCAGAUUUGGAGGGUAACGUUCGAAGACAGAGCAGAGCUGAUGCUUCC